rnacentral:lncRNA from 1 species
GCACAGUAGUGUGUGUGCGUUCACUCUCUGGGUUUGGCCCAAGCAGCAUUCACCUCUGUUAUAGUCAAGGACAGAUAAGAGCUAUGCAGAUUGCGUGUCAGGACCUCGGCGGCAAGGGGGAAGCUCCGCGUCUGGAGUUCGGGAUGCUCUUUGCGAGGAGAGGAGCUUCCACUCAAAAGGGAAUGAUUUUCAUAUAUCCUGGAUACUGAAGAUAUCUGACAGCGCUAACUGAAAUUGCAGAUGUUCAUCACCUCUGAAAGUCUCGAC